GACGAACGCUGGCGGCGUGCUUAACACAUGCAAGUCGAACGGAAAGGCCCUGCUUUUGUGGGGUGCUCGAGUGGCGAACGGGUGAGUAACACGUGAGUAACCUGCCCUUGACUUUGGGAUAACUUCAGGAAACUGUGGCUAAUACCGGAUAGGAGCUCCUGCUGCAUGGUGGGGGUUGGAUAGUUUCGGCGGUUGGGGAUGGACUCGCGGGUUAUCAGCUUGUUGGUGGGGUAGUGGCUUACCAAGGCUUUGACGGGUAGCCGGCCUGAGAGGGUGACCGGCCACAUUGGGACUGAGAUACGGCCCAGACUCCUACGGGAGGCAGCAGUGGGGAAUAGUGCACGAUGGGCGGAAGCCUGAUGCAGCAACGCCGCGUGCGGGAUGACGGCCUUCGGGUUGUAAACCGCUUUCGCCUGUGACGAAGCGUGAGUGACGGUAAUGGGUAAAGAAGCACCGGCUAACUACGUG
rnacentral:rRNA from 1 species